rnacentral:misc_RNA from 1 species
AUGACAAAACGCCGUGCGAGCAAUAAAAAGCCUUCGGGUUUGAACAAAUCACUUGGUAAUUCGCUUAGCAACGAUCGUGAGAAAACUAGGAAAAGUCAUCAACGUGCAAAGUACGAUGGAAACGACAUUGAGAAUCCAGCUUUCAUGGAACACGAAGUCAAUCAUUACAUCGACUCGGUGACAGACGAAACUAGUUUGGAGGAGUUUUUGGCUAAAGCAGAACUUGCUGGAACUGAAUUCACCGCCGAGAAGGAGCAGUUCAAGAUUAUUGAAAAGAACUCCGCUAUUGUCGUCCCAACAAGGCUGGACUACCGUGCCAAUCUUGACCUUCAAAAGGAGAACGAGCACCGUCUUCGGAUUCCAAGACGUCCAGCAAAGGAGCUCUGGGAGAACAUGGAGGAUUUGACUAAGCUGGAAAACGAAGCAUUCCUUCAAUGGAGGUGGACGGACUGGUACUGACUCCUUUCGAGCGAAAUCCUGACAUGUGGAGAGAGCUCUGGAGAGUUGUCGAGAAGAGCGACAUCAUUGUUCAAAUCGUGGACGCUCGAAAUCCAUUGCUGUUCCGCAGUAAAGAUUUGGAUGACUACGUCAAGGAAGUUGAUCCCGCCAAGCAGAUUCUUCUUCUCGUCAAUAAGGCAGAUCUUCUGAAACCGGAACAACAGGCCAGCUGGAGGGAAUACUUCGAAAAGGAAAAUAUCAAAGUAAUUUUCUGGUCGGCUAUCGAUGAAGUCUUAGAUCCAAUCGAUGAAGACGCAGUAGAAACAUCAAAUCCAUCAACUUCCACACAUAUGUUCGUAACGAACAAGGAUGAGCUGAUUGCGAAGUUCAAGGAACUUGGUCACGUAUCAGAUGAGCCGUCAGCAAAGCCAGUCAUGGUUGGAAUGGUUGGCUAUCCUAACGUUGGAAAAAGUUCUACGAUCAACAAGCUGGCUGGUGGAAAGAAGGUUUCAGUAUCAGCAACACCCGGAAAGACGAGACAUUUCCAAACCAUUCACAUCGACAGCCAACUAUGCCUUUGUGAUUGUCCCGGACUUGUCAUGCCUUCUUUCUCUUUUGGACGAAGCGAAAUGUUUUUAAACGGUAUUCUUCCCGUUGAUCAAAUGCGUGACCACUUCGGCCCAACGUCGCUUCUACUCUCCCGUGUUCCAGUUCAUGUCAUCGAGGCUGAUGUUCAAGGAUGUUGUCAGUGGAAAAUUGAUUUGGGCAGCCGCACCUCCCGGAGUUGAGCAAGAAGAGUUUGACCGAAUCUCCUAUCCAGACAAGAAGACUCGUGAUAUUGGUCGGGUGCAGAUGGAAAAGCUUGCCAAGCUUCAGCUUCUCGAGGGUGAUGAGUUGAAGGGAUCACAAUUUGACUCUCAACACUUUGUCGGAUCAAUCGGAGUUGCUCAUGUCAGAGAUUCAAAAGCAUUGCCUCAAACGUUAGGAACCGUCAUUCCAACUGCUCCUACCGAAAACAAUGGAAAGAAGCAUUACAAGGGAAAGAAGGACAAAUUGAGGAGGAUUUAUAAUGAAUAA